rnacentral:rRNA from 1 species
AGUCGAGCGAGGUAGCAAUACCUAGCGGCAGACGGGUGAGUAACAUGUGGGAAUCUGCCUUUUGGUUCGGAACAACACGGGGAAACCUGUGCUAAUACCGGAUAAGUCCUAACGGAGAAAGUUUUAAUGCCAAAAGAUGAGCCCGCAUUUGAUUAGCUAGUUGGUAAGGUAAAAGCUUACCAAGGCGACAAUCAAUAGCUGAUUUGAGAGGAUGAGCAGCCACACUGGGACUGAGAUAAGGAAAAGAAUCC